rnacentral:lncRNA from 1 species
UUAUUCCUUGUACAUUGAAAUUUGUGGUUCCUAGGUUAUCGUGAAAUCCAAGAAAAUUGGUAUCCAACAGAUAAUGAAGUAGGCUAUUUAUACUGCAACUAAAUGUGUUUAUUUCCUUAAUAUAGUAACACAGCUAUAGUUUGUGCAAUGUCAAUUUUCUCAUGGAUCACUUUUUCUGCAAUCAGAGGUUCAUUCAGGGAUGAUACUAAGUUUGAAAUUAAAUUUACAAUCUAGAUAGCUGUCAAUGUAUUAAUUUAAGUUUCAGUAUAGAAACAAUAUUAGGUAAAUGUCAGAAAAAUUUUAACUUUUUUGUAUACGGCACAAAACUGGGGCAGUUUCUCAGUCUCAUACAAAAAAGUUUAUAUUUUUUGACGACAUUGACCUUAUAUUGUAUAUUUAUUACUUUUCAUGAUAUUGCACAAAUAAUAAGAACUUUAUAAUCUUUUUUUAAAUCACUAUCUUUUUAUAGUCUUUUUCAAUGUCUCUAAUCUCCUUGAUUUUUUGUAAUUUUAUUGAUGUAGAUUAUGAUUUAUAUUAUGCUUCAGG